rnacentral:tRNA from 1 species
GGAGAUGUGGCUCAGUUGGUAGAGUGCUUGAAUACCACACAUGAAGCUUUGGGUUUGAAUCCCAGCAAUGCAG